GAUGAACGCUAGCGGCAGGCCUAAUACAUGCAAGCUGAACGGUAAAUGUUGUAGCAAUACAAUAUGAGAGUAGCGUAAGGGUGCGUAACACGUAUGCAAUCUACCCGCAACAGGAGGAUAGCUCCCCGAAAGGGGAAUUAAUACUCCAUAAGAUCACGAGAAGGCAUCUGAUUGUGAUUAAACUCCAAGGGGUUGCGGAUGAGCAUGCGCAUGAUUAGUUAGUUGGCGGGGUAACGGCCCACCAAGACGAUGAUCAUUAGGGGAACUGAGAGGUUGAUCCCCCACACUGGCACUGAGAUACGGGCCAGACUCCUACGGGAGGCAGCAGUAGGGAAUAUUGGUCAAUGGGUGAAAGCCUGAACCAGCCAUGCCGCGUGCAGGAAGAAAGCCUUCUGGGUUGUAAACUGCUUUUAUCUGGGGAUAAAAUACCCGUGCGCGGGGAAUUGAAGGUACCAGAUGAAUAAGCCACGGCUAACUACGUGCCAGCCGCCGCAGUAAAAC
rnacentral:rRNA from 1 species